rfam:Aedes aegypti strain Liverpool supercont1.18 genomic scaffold, whole genome shotgun sequence.
UGCCCAGUAACUCCUAUCCCUACCUCCUCGUGGUAAUGGCCGAGGUACGAGUAACCUUGGGGAAGAUCGGUAACCAACCCCCGGUGGGAACUUUGGUCGUAUGCUAAAAGGGAAGU